AACGAACGCUGGCGGCGUGGAUAAGACAUGCAAGUCGAACGGGACAAUCUUGUAGCAAUACCGGGUUGUUCAGUGGCGAACGGGUGCGUAACACGUGGAUAACAUACCGGAAAGCGAGGAAUAGCCCAGGGAAACUUGGAUUAAUACCUCAUGUGGUCGCAAGACUAAAGGCGGGGCAACCUGUCGCUUUCUGAUUGGUCCGCGGCCUAUCAGCUAGUUGGCGGGGUAACGGCCCACCAAGGCGACGACGGGUAGCUGGUCUGAGAGGAUGACCAGCCACACUGGAACUGAGACACGGUCCAGACACCUACGGGUGGCAGCAGUCGAGAAUCAUUCACAAUGGGGGAAACCCUGAUGGUGCGACGCCGCGUGGAGGAUAAGGUCUUCGGAUUGUAAACUCCUGUCAUGCGAGAGCAAGGCUUGUGCGGGUAACUCCGCUAAGCUUGAUAGUAUCGCAAGAGGAAGAGACGGCUAACUCUGUGCCAGCAGCCGCGGUAACAC
rnacentral:rRNA from 1 species